AGCGAACGCUGGCGGCAGGCCUAAAACAUGCAAGUCGAACGCCCUAGCAAUAGGGAGUGGCAGACGGGUGAGUAACACGUGGGAACGUGCCUUUUGGUUCGGAACAACACAGGGAAACUUGUGCUAAUACCGGAUAAGCCCUUACGGGGAAAGAUUUAUCGCCAAAAGAUCGGCCCGCGUCUGAUUAGCUAGUCGGUGGGGUAACGGCCCACCAAGGCUACGAUCAGUAGCUGGUCUGAGAGGAUGAUCAGCCACACGGGGACUGGGACACGGCCCAGACUCCUACGGGAGGCAGCGGUUAGGAAUCUUGGACAAUGGGCGCAAGCCUGAUCCAGCCAUGCCGCGUGAGUGAUGAAGGCCUUAGGGUUGUAAAGCUCUUUCAGCGGGGAAGAUAAUGACGGUACCCGCAGAAGAAGCCCCGGCUAACUUCGUGCCAGCCGCCGCCGUAACAC
rnacentral:rRNA from 1 species